UACAGAGGUCCCAAGCGUUGUUCGGAUUCAUUGGGCGUAAAGGGCGCGUAGGCGGGCCACCAAGUCGGGGGUGAAAUCUUUCAGCUUAACUGGAAAAUAGCUUUCGAUACUGGUGGUCUAGAGGGAGGUAGGGGCAGCUGGAACUUCCGGUGGAGCGGUGAAAUGUGUUGAUAUCGGAAGGAACUCCGGUGGCGAAAGCGAGCUGCUGGACCUCUUCUGACGCUGAGGCACGAAGGUCAGGGGAGCAAACGGG
rnacentral:rRNA from 1 species